rnacentral:rRNA from 1 species
AAAAAGGCGGUAGGCAUGAUUCUUAGGCAAAUCCGGGAAUCUCUAUGCCGAGCACCGAGACGAGUCCCAUGAGGACGAAGUGACUGACACCACGCUUCCAGGAAAAGCCACUAAGCUUCAGCUGUAGAAAAACCGUACCGCAAACCGACACAGGUAGGCAGGGUGAGAAUCCCAAGGCGCUUGAGAGAACUCGGGUGAAGGAACUAGGCAAAAUGGCACCGUAACUUCGGGAGAAGGUGCGCCUCUUGGUGUGGUCACGUGCGUGACUGAGCAUCGAGGGGUCGCAGUAACCUGGCCGCUGCGACUGUUUAUCAAAAACACAGCACUCUGCAAACACGAAAGUGGACGUAUAGGGUGUGACGCCUGCCCGGUGCUGGAAGGUUAAUUGAUGGGGUCAGCCGCAAGGCGAAGCUCUUGAUCGAAGCCCCAGUAAACGGCGGCCGUAACAAUAACGGUCCUAAGGUAGCGAAAUUCCUUGUCGGGUAAGUUCCGACCUGCACGAAUGGCGUAACGACAGCGGCGCUGUCUCCACCCGAGACUCAGUGAAAUUGAAAUCGCUGUGAAGAUGCAGCGUUCCCGCGGCAAGACGGAAAGACCCCGUGAACCUUUACUAUAGCUUUACACUGAACGUUGGGUUCUUCUGUGUAGGAUAGGUGGGAGGCUAUGAAACCAGGACGCUAGUUCUGGUGGAGCCAUCCUUGAAAUACCACCCUGAAGUGCUUGACGUUCUAACCUAGGUCCGUAAUCCGGAUCGGGGACCGUGUAUGGUGGGUAGUUUGACUGGGGCGGUCUCCUCCCAAAGAGUAACGGAGGAGCACGAAGGUACGCUCAGCGCGGUCGGACAUCGCGCACUGUGUGCAAAGGCAUAAGCGUGCUUGACUGCGAGAUCGACGGAUCAAGCAGGUACGAAAGUAGGUCUUAGUGAUCCGGUGGUUCUGUAUGGAAGGGCCAUCGCUCAACGGAUAAAAGGUACUCCGGGGAUAACAGGCUGAUACCGCCCAAGAGUUCAUAUCGACGGCGGUGUUUGGCACCUCGAUGUCGGCUCAUCACAUCCUGGGGCUGUAGCCGGUCCCAAGGGUAUGGCUGUUCGCCAUUUAAAGUGGUACGCGAGCUGGGUUCAGAACGUCGUGAGACAGUUCGGUCCCUAUCUGUCGUGGGCGUUGGAGAUUUGAGGGGGGCUGCUCCUAGUACGAGAGGACCGGAGUGGACGUUCCGCUGGUGUUCGGGUUGUCAUGCCCGUGGCAUUGCCCGGUAGCUACGAACGGAAGUGAUAACCGCUGAAAGCAUCUAAGCGGGAAGCACGCCCCAAGAUGAGAUCUCCCGAGAGCUUGACUCUCCUAAAGGCACCAUCAAGACUAGGUGGUUGAUAGGCACGGUGUGGAAGUGCAGCAAUGCAUUGAGCUUACGUGUACUAAUGAGCCGUGAGGCUUGACCAG